GGAUAGCCUUUCGAAAGAAAGAUUAAUACCUGAUGGUAUGAUGAGAUUGCAUGAUAGCAUCAUUAAAGAUUUAUCGGUGUACGAUGGGGAUGCGUUCCAUUAGCUAGUUGGUGAGGUAACGGCCCACCAAGGCAACGAUCAGUAGCCGACCUGAGAGGGUGACCGGCCACAUUGGGACUGAGACACGGCCCAGACUCCUACGGGAGGCAGCAGUGGGGGAUAUUGCACAAUGGAGGAAACUCUGAUGCAGCGACGCCGCGUGAGUGAAGAAGUAUUUCGGUAUGUAAAGCUCUAUCAGCAGGGAAGAAAAUGACGGUACCUGACUAAGAAGCCCCGGCUAACUACGUGCCAGCAGCCGCGGUAAUACGUAGGGGGCAAGCGUUAUCCGGAUUUACUGGGUGUAAAGGGAGCGUAGACGGCGAUGCAAGUCUGAAGUGAAAUACCCGGGCUCAACCUGGGAACUGCUUUGGAAACUGUAUGGCUAGAGUGCUGGAGAGGUAAGCGGAAUUCCUAGUGUAGCGGUGAAAUGCGUAGAUAUUAGGAAGAACACCAGUGGCGAAGGCGGCUUACUGGACAGUAACUGACGUUCAGGCUCGAAAGCGUGGGGAGCAAACAGGAUUAGAU
rnacentral:rRNA from 1 species